GUUAAGCGUUGUGCGCCGCGGCCGGGCGCGGUGAUUCACGCCUGUAAUCCCAGCACUUUGGGGGGCCGAGGCGGGCGGAUCACGACGUCAGGAGAUCGAGACCAUUCUGGCUAACACGAACCUGGAUUUUAGCUGAGCUAAGGAGCAAAAAUUCCUGCAUCAGUAUGAGGUAAGAAUAAAGGUUCUUUUUUUUCCUUAUGGAUUUCCAGUCGUUCCAGCUUGCCUAUCCCCAUGGAAUUGCCUUGGCAUCCCUGUCAAAACUCAGCUGGCCGUAUAUUAUAACCUCAGAGCCAGCCCAAACUGGCCCUACUCUGUUGAUAACAAAAUGGCCAGUUACCCUGUAGGUAUAACAGAGCCAAAACUGCAAGUUAUGUAGACUGGGCAUGUGCCAUGGAAAAAGCUUUGACCUCUAACAAUGAAACGGGAAAGGUUCCCUUGUCCCCUUCGUAGGGCAUGCGGCAGUGGGAGUGGGUCGCUUCUUCAGUGCCCCACUGCUCACACCUCUAGGGGAGCAUACAGACAGGCAGGUUUUGGGGCUCCAACCCCACGCCAGUGUCUAGGGGUGGAUGUUUACUGCUCCUGAAGCACCAGUGGGCUGUGCUACUGUGUGCUUUUUUAGUUUUGCUGUCUAUAGGCACUUGUGUUAACCAGCUCAAUUAGACCCUCUACCUUGUCACAAGGACAGAAGACUUUCUGUAUCCCAGGUUCUUGCCUUGGUGUACCAGAAGAAUUGUAUCACAUGUGGGCUUAGAGAAUGAGUGCACGGUUUUAUUGAGUGGAAGUAGCUCUCAGCAGAUGGGGGAGCCAGAAGGGAGUUGGUUUUCCCCUGGAGUUGAGCCGCUCAGCGGCCCAGGCUGUCCUCCGACUGCCCUGGCCAAACUCCGCAUUGUUCUGCUGGUCGAUGGCCUGCCAGUGCUAGUGCCUUUAGAAUGGUACUUGCCACACAGUACCUACUAUAAGUAAUUAUUCAAUGAAUUAAUGAAUCCCUUAA
rnacentral:lncRNA from 10 species